AUCUUAUUAGGGUGUACUAUCUGUGCUUUCAAAAAAAAAAAAUCAACAUUCACAUUAUUCUCAAAGUUGACUGCGAAAGCAGUUAGGUUUUGCAAAACUAGUCAAAUGCUAAUGAGGUUCAGAAGGUAUCUCACUUUGAAGAAUAAAAGACAGAAGUUGGAUGGGGCCCUGGGAAACCUGAUCUAGUGCCUGAUUUACUUGGUGGCAAUCCUGCCCAAAUCAGAGUUUGGCCUUAGCUGAUCUUGGAGUUCUUUCCAGCCCAAGUCAUUCUGUGAUUCUGUGGAACAUGGUGCCGUUGAGAAAG
ensembl:lncRNA